AAAGAAAGGAGAUGAAGAUUUUGAUCAGGGAUUGUCAUACUGGUUCAGUACCAGACUCUGAGUUGAAUAUUGAAGAUAUGAGCUUGAGGUUGGAUGGAUUUUGAUGAGGUCCAGCAGGAGUGAGUGCUGGAAUCCAGUAGGAGUGAGUGCUGGCUACCUAGUAGGAGUGAGAGCUAGGUAGAAUUGGUGGGGAGAUGGAAACCAGUAGGAGUGAGGGCUGGCCACCUAGUAGGAGUGAGAGCUAGGUGGAAGAGAUUGAGAGUUUGAAGAGAGGAAUAUUAUACUUGGAAGAGAAAGAAGUUGCUUUGAUUUUUAUCCAAUUUUGUAUAGAAAAUCUUAGAGAAAAGACGCUAGUUUGUAAAAAAGUUUUUUCUUUUGAAUUCAAUUUAACAUUCCAUUCAAAAAAAAAAAUAAUAAUAAAUAAAAAAAGUGUAUUAUCUCACAUGACCACUAUCAUUCUCAAUGAUUGUAACACUAAUCUUAUCUUACACAUUUUUGCUUGGCUCAUUCACUACUCACAAAUUCAUAAUUUAUCAUCAUACUCCAAAAAACUUCAUAAGGCACGUUUCAAGAGACGGACUUGUUUGCUGAUGCAACUUUUGUAUCAGCCUCUGCUCAGGGAACAGAUUUUGGGUCGCAGAAACAGGUGGGUGACUUCUUUCAUUCAAGCAACUAUACAGCUUUUAACAAUUGAAAUUUUCCGUGAUUUAGUGUCCAUUCUCGUGAUGGCGCUUGUUAAUCCAUUACACCUUACAGUGACUUGUCUUGUUGAAUUAUAGACUGAUACGUUUUCGCAUGGCUGUUCUACAGGAAGAAGUUGAUCUCUUCUCUGCAUCUCAACCUUCUGUCACAGUUACUCCACCUCCUCCGACGGUUGACCUGUUUGCAUCCACUGAACCAGUUGCACCCCCAGAAGCCAAGAUUCCUAAACCUGAGUCUAUGACCACUCCCAACAUUGUUGACCCAUUUGCUGCAGUUCCCAUGGAAACUUUUGAUGGAUCUGAUCCUUUUGGUGCCUUCACUUCUCACUCCGCUUCAGUCUCUACAGGUCCACAGGCCCCAGUUGUACAUGGGAGUGCAACAAACACAACAACCCCACCCUCUUUGGCAGACUCGAAACCACAACAGUUUCAAAAGAAGGAUCCUUUCCAGGUGAAAUCUGGAAUAUGGGCAGAUUCGCUGAGCCGUGGACUAAUUGAUCUCAAUAUUACUGCUCGUAAGUCAAAGCUUACCCUUUAUAUUUUGGACGAGAUUAGUUUCUUUCUUAAAUGAUAUGUAGAUUUUAGUUUGGUUCCACCAAAGUAAAUGCAGAUAAAACCCAAAAGGCAUGGUUAAUUCAAUUACAUUAGACUUUACAACAAGCUAAUUUUUAGCUCACAUAGAGUUUUCUUACAAUAUCGUGUUGCUUGUGCCGGGACACGUCACACAUAGUAUGGUCGGGUUUUGCUUUCUAAGCUCUGUUUUGGAUCUGACUAGUUUAAUUUCCAUGUAAUCAGCCAAAAAGGCUUCUCUUGCUGAUGUGGGUGUUGUCGGUGGCCUGAGCAAUGACGAUGGGAACAAGGCAUCUGCUGCUGCCUACUACUCAGGGUGGUCCAUGGGCGCAGGAUCCGGGCUCGGUAAAACCGGAAUAUACAAUGCCCAGCAGCAGCAGCAACAACAACAAGCACCUGAAAUCUCAGAUGAUUUCUUCUCCAGCCUCAGCAACCAAAGGUACCAAACUGGAGGCUUUAAGCAGUGAAGUUGCUUUCUACAUUCAUACUGGAAAUCAAAUGUUUUUAUUCUUAAUGAGAGUUUACUGUUCUUGCUCUUGAUUGAUGGGACAAAUCUGAUCGGUGGCUUGCGUUUUAAAUGAGAGAGUUGUUUAUGCAAAGAGAGUAUUAUUUGUUGGUUUGAAUUUUUCUAAACAAAUUAUAUGUAUUUCAUUCGACUCUGUGGAGAAUAUAUCUAUCCUGUGUGAUCUUUAAUCAAAAGAGACUCCCAGCUUUGUUUAUGAUUGAUUCUACUGUCUUUAUCUAAUAAUAAAAAAGGUGUACAAAAAUGGAAGGAAAGCUUCCUUUUGGUAUGAGGCUUGGUCACCAUUGGGUUGUCUAAAGGAUGUGCUAAGUGACAGAGGCUACAUUGAUAUAGGUAUUUCGAUAAAUGCAAAUGUUGAGGCUUGUGGAAUGCAUAGGAGAAGGCAUCAUCGAAAUCCUAUUUUCAAUAGAGUUGAGAUGGAGAUUGAGAGAUACAAAGCCACUAGAGUUGAGGAGGAAGAUAUUUCUUUAUGGAAGAACAAAAAUGGCGACCACAAAAAAUGUUUCUCGUCGAGAGAUACUUGGGAAGUGAUUAGAGAGAAGCAUAUGAGCUGUUAUUGGUACAAGGCAGUAUGGUAUAAAUAUGCAACUCCAAAAUUUUCGUUCAUAUUAUGGACAGCUUUGAAUGGAAAGCUUCCAACUGGUGAUCGAAUGAUCAAGUGGAGUGGAAGUAUUGAUACUGCUUGUGUGCUUUGUCGGAAUCACCCUCUUGAAACUCUGCAACAUCUAUUUUUUGAUUGCUCAUUCUCUACUCAAGUUUGGGAGAAGCUGAUGAAGGGAGUGUUGGGAAACAUCUUCACUUCGAAUUGGGGAAGUAUACUCAGAAUAGUUUUGGAUCAGAGUCAUCGAAAGAUUAGGCUGUUUGUGAUAAGAUAUGUUCUUCAAUCAGCAGUACACACAAUCUGGAGAGAAAGAAACAGAAGAAGGCAUGACGAAGCUUCCUCACCGGUGAUGUUAUUGAUCAAACAGAUUGAUAAAAAUAUGAGAAAUAAAUUUUCUAUUAUUCGAAAGAAAGGAGAUGAAGAUUUUGAUCAGGGAUUGUCAUACUGGUUCAGUACCAGAGUACUCUGAGUUGAAUAUUGACUAUAUGAGCUUGAGGUUGGAUGGGUUUUGAUGAGGUCCAGUAGGAGUGAGUGCUGGAAUCCAGUAGGAGUGAGUGCUGGCUACCUAGUCGGAGUGAGAGCUAGGUAGAAUUGGUGGGGAGAUGGAAACCAGUAGGAGUGAGGGCUGGCCACCUAGUAGGAGUGAGAGCUAGGUGGAAGAGAUUGAGAGUUUGAAGAGAGGAAUAUUAUACUUGGAAGAGAAAGAAGUUGCUUUGAUUUUUAUCCAAUUUUGUAUAGAAAAUCUUAGAGAAAAGACACUAGUUUGUAAAAAAGUUUUUUCUUUUGAAUUCAAUUUAACAUUCAAUUCAAAAAAAAAAAAAAAUAUAUAUAUAUAUAUAUAAUACAGAGUUAGCAUGUAAUUCUCUCAUGAAAUCUACUUUCCAACCAAGAUACUAAUAGAUCUGAAGCUAGAUGUAAUAC
rnacentral:lncRNA from 1 species